rnacentral:tRNA from 1 species
AGGCCCUGAGGUGUUACACGUGGGGUUGCAAACCCCAAGACGCAGUUAGUUCCUGCCGGGGCUUC